CUGGGCUCUGUUGGGACCUGCUCUGUAAACAGGACCUCGCCUCGUACAGCAGAAUACCCCCAGAACACACACACACAAACCCCACUUGCACACACAAACAACCCACAAAACACCACAUGGACUAACACGCAACCAAAUAAGCCACAUAAUAACCCAAACUACCUCCAAAAACCUCAACCAACCAUAGCUAACCAAAUAAACCACGCUGGAGCCAAAGAAACCACAGAAAACUAAACAACCCAUAGACAGGCACUGAACAAACAGACAGACCCAAACUAAUAGCUUCACCAAACAGUACUAGUAUAUUAUCAACACAUGAAUAUCAAUACUAGACUGUAACAUAGCCUACUACUCAACAGGGCAUCAACCAACAUUUUAGGUAACAGUCACUAUAUAGUAUACCAUGGGUGCUGAGUGACCAGUGACCACUGGAUCUCUUGAGGGGUGAACACACACUGUCCUGGGCAGGGGAGGGGCAGUCACUGGGGAAGAGAGGAGAACGCUCCCCUACUACCCUCCAGGGGUGGUCCGUCUCUCUUCAGCCAGGCAGGCCUCAAGGGCCAGUGCCAGGGCCUCUGGUCCUCAACCUCAGGUCUAAGCUGCUUGUUUAUCCAGAAGUCAAUCUACUGCUACUGAUGUAGUGAAUCAUCACAUAGAGAGGUGCUGUUACUCUAACUUCAGUGAACCCUGCUGUAAUCCCUAAUAAUAGCAUUGUAACUGGUCUAGUAAAUCAUUACAUAGAGGUGCUGUUACUCUAACUUUAGUAAACCCUGCUGUAAUCCCUAAUAAUGUCAUUGUAACUGGUGUAGUGAAUCAUAACAUAGAGGUUCUGUUACUCUAACUUCAGUGAACCCUGCUGUAAUCCCUAAUAAUAGCAUUGUAACUGGUCUAGUAAAUCAUUACAUAGAGGUGCUGUUACUCUAAUUUUAGUAAACCCUGCUGUAAUCCCUAAUAAUAGCAUUGUAACUGGUGUAGUGAAUCAUUACAUAGAGGUUCUGUUACUCUAACUUUAGUAAACCCUGCUGUAGUCCCUAAUAAUAGCAUUGUAACUGGUGUAGUGAAUCAUUACAUAGAGGUGCUGUUACUCUAACUUUAGUGAACCCUGCUGUAAUCCCUAAUAAUAGCAUUGUAACUGGUCUAGUAAAUCAUUACAUAGAGGUGCUGUUACUCUAAUUUUAGUAAACCCUGCUGUAAUCCCUAAUAAUAGCAUUGUAACUGGUCUAGUAAAUCAUUACAUAGAGGUGCUGUUACUCUAAUUUUAGUAAACCCUGCUGUAAUCCCUAAUAAUAGCAUUGUAACUGGUCUAGUAAAUCAUUACAUAGAGGUGCUGUUACUCUAACUUUAGUAAACCCUGCUGUAAUCCCUAAUAAUAGCAUUGUAACUGGUGUAGUGAAUCAUUACAUAGAGGUUCUGUUACUCUAACUUUAGUAAACCCUGCUGUAGUCCCUAAUAAUAGCAUUGUAACUGGUGUAGUGAAUCAUUACAUAGAGGUGCUGUUACUCUAACUUUAGUAAACCCUGCUGUAGUCCCUAAUAAUAGCAUUGUAACUGGUGUAGUGAAUCAUUACAUAGAGAGGUGCUGUUACUCUAACUUUAGUAAACCCUGCUGUAAUCCCUAAUAAUGCCAUUGUAACUGGUGUAGUGAAUCAUUACAUAGAGAGGUGCUGUUACUCUAACUUUAGUAAACCCUGCUGUAGUCCCUAAUAAUAGCAUUGUAACUGGUCUAGUGAAUCAUUACAUAGAGAGAGAGGUGCUGUUACUCUAACUUUAGUAAACCCUGCUGUAAACCCUAAUAAUAGCAUUGUAACUGGUAGAUGUGUCUACUAUACAGAGCUGGACUUCUAUUCCCUGAAGACUGUUCUUAG